UCGUCCAUCAUCGACGCCCAAAUCCACCCCCAAAUCUUAUCCCUUCCUUCUGCGCCACCCAAUCCCUCCCUUCCUUCGAGGCCUCCGACCACCAUCCAUGCCUUCCAAGGUCACCCGAGCGCCUCAACCUGCUCUAUGUUAUGGAUCUGUACCCGCUGAACACCAUCAUCCAUGGUUCCUCUGCUAUUGGGACACGACGUCGUCCCAUCUCCGUUCUGGACAUUACCCUACGACACCAACGCUUGGCCUGCUCCUCCACCACGGCCCUGCUCGGACCACACCACCACCGACGCCACCAUUGAGAAUCCACCCCAACUUGAGCAGUUCACCGGCGUCAUUGAGGAAGCACUGAGCUGCUGCAUUGGAAAUACGAGGAACUGUGCAAGAAGCUGAUAUUCACUAGACGGCAAGAAAUAGUCUCAUAUUUUUCUUCCAAGUAGUAUGAACCAUUCCCCACUUUGAUACUUAUGAACACCCAUUUGGUAUAUCCUUUUCCUAGUUACAGUUCAUCCAGAUCAGGAGUAGGAUUUAUGGUUCAUGAUCCAACUAAAAGAGAGGUGUAAUAUCCUCUGCCCUUGACAUGGUACGGUACAUACUGUUAUUUCACUACAUGUCUCCAAAUUCAUGUAUUGAUUAAUUUCGAUUCAAGUUUUCUAUCUCGCAAGAUCAUGCUAUCUUCAGUAUGCUCGAGAACAUCUGAAAUGCACCUAGACGUUAUAUUUCAGAUUAUUGACAAUGAAACUGUACCAGGAAACGCCUAUUACCAACAACUAUGCUCAAGAUAUGAAUGCUCUGUUAUAACAAUUAACAAGACAAAGAUAUGCUCAGGGGCUCCUAUUGUAGGCCAUACUAUAUGUCAUCUUAAUUUAGUUAGUCCUUUUACUACUUGCUUCUUAGAAUUUCUUACUGUCUUAUUAUCUAGUACUUAACAAUUCUUGUGUAUUCCUCAUAUUUAAGCUCACAGUGUUCUUCCUUCUCCCUUAAGUUGUAUUUUGCUUUCGUUCUUAUAUUAAAGAUUGAACAAUUGCAGUGCAAGCACACAAUUGGUUGUUCCUGCUGGAGAAGGUGCACAAUCUUGCCGAGUUGCACACAAUCAAUUAAAAUAGUAUAUUUGUACAUUUUUGGAACUAGUUGAUUGUAGCUCUUAGUUGUACAAGGUGGAUGCAAGUGUCUGGGUGCGAUGACCUGUAGAUAUUGCAUUGCUCUGAAAAUUAUCAAUACAUUGCAUAGAUGAAUGGAUGUCACUCCUUACAUUGUUGUUCUGAACUUCUGUACUAAUUUACUGAAGCAUCAAGUAACAACUGUCCUCUGUUUGGGGUCACCCCUUUCCCUAGUAGUAUUGCAUUCUAUUUCCUUAUGAUUUUUUGAUUGUCUUACUAUCCAUUAGAGUAAGAGUCUGCUCUCUAACUUGUUUGUCCAUACCUUCUUAUUUUAGUCUCUUUCAUUAUGUUUUUUUGGGAAGAAUUAAAUAAAAUUAUCAGUGCAACAUAGAGGUUAAAGCAGGUGGUUGAGCUAUCACUCAAUUUCAAGAAAUUGAAUAAGAUUCUUCCAAAUUAAGUGGAAAUAUUCCCUUUCAUAUUUUGUUGUUCUAUGCACGUGAACCUAGAAAUUAAAUAUUGAUCAACACCUGAUCGAUGUCUUAUUUUGCUAGUUUGCAGUUCAUUCUUAUUAGGAGCAGAAUUUAAGAUUGGGGAUCUAUGAGAGAUGCAAGAGCCUCUAAUCAAGCAAACAGUUGGCACUUGCACAUUUUUACAAGUUCAAUAAUAUAUCCACUGCAGGGUAACCUUGAAGAAAAGCUUGCAACUUAAGCUGCAACAAAAAGAUUUUAGAAAAUGAGAUCUCUUGUGCAUAUUUAGUUGAUGCACUUGUGUGUGUUUAGAUGUUGCAGCUCUGUUUUCAUUGACCUUCGAUUCAUGUACGUAAAUUCUAUGGAACUGUAUCCGAAGACAUGUGAAUUUGUAUCUCUGGUUGAUGGAAACAAUUGAUAGUGAUGUUUCUAUGUUCUAAAUAUCAUGGGUUAUGGAAUAACUAUGUAUAAAACCAUCAAUAUUAUUUUUCUUCA